rnacentral:rRNA from 1 species
AUGGCCACUCCUACUCCAUACCACCUCCUGUCUCCAAGAGCCAUCGUCACCAAGAUCAUCAGCAUGAAGCGGCAGGAGCCGGAGCCGCCGCCGCCCAAGAUCAUCCUGCAGCCGCGGCACCGGACCAGCCCCGCGAUGUGGUGCGCUGCCAUCGUCUGCUUCGCCUUCAGCGUCCUCCUCAUCCUCGCCGGCCUGGUGAUCCUCACCGUCUACCUGGCGGUGAAGCCGAGGACGCUGUCCUUCGACGUCGCCAAUGCCGCCCUCCACAGCAUCUAUGUCGGCUCGCCUCCUCCCUACUUCAACGGCGACAUGACGCUGACGGCCAACAUCUCCAACCCCAACCACAAGAUCGGCGUCGUGAUCCAGUCCGGCGCCAUCGAGCUCUUCUUCCGGGGCAGGCUGGUGGCAGCGCAGGCGCUGCCGCCGUUCGCGCAGCGUGUGGCCUUGGAGAUGCUGAACCAGAUGAAGAGCAACAAGAUCCUCUACACCAUCAGAGGGACCUUCAAGGUCCGGGAAAGGUUAUGGUCUUGGCACUACACCUACCGGAUGACUGCCAUUUGUGACCUGGAGCUCACCGCGCCUCCCUCUGGAUUUCUCGUAGAUAGGAGAUGCACAACAUCAACGUGA